GUAAUUAAUUAGUAAAGAGAGGAGCUUUGUCGUGUGUGUGUGUUAAAAGUGAAACUAUAAUCAACCUAUUCAAGUACUACAUUAUACGAUAGAGAACAAUUUUAUGGUAUUGAAUAUAUGUAAUUUAUUUUUGGGGUGGAACUGUGGAAGAUCGGUAAUGUGGUUAGGAGCCAAAUUGGUAGGUUGUUAAAAUAAAUAUAGAUGGCGACUUCAUCACCCAUAUUCUCCACACGCUCUCAUAUGGUACGUACGUACACACACACACUCACACGUCUCCAGUUUCAUAAAUCGUUUUGUUAAUUAGCUUAGCUACUAGUAAAUUCUUUUCUCUUAAUCACGUGGAUCCUACGUACGCCCCAACUUCCAAUUUAAAAAUGUCGGAUUUUGAGUAGAGAUGCCACUCGAGGUCAUUAUUGUUUUCUACACAUGAGACAUCAUUAAAUUAUCAGUAUUUGGUUUAGAAUGUGUGAUAAAAUGUCGAAACAAAUGAGUAAUAAUAAGUUACUCUAAACCCCAAAUAAGUUACUACUCUAUAUAUGAAGUUUGAAUCGCUAAAAAUGAACACAUCACUUGUGAUUCACUGAGCUCCUCGAAAGUCUUAAUUUGGGGUUUUCUUUCGGUACGACGCUAAAAACCAAAAAAUGAAACACGGAUAAUAGUAGUAAGGAUAAUAAAAGGAAAUGUGUUGUUUACACACGUGAGAGUUUCCAGAAUUUGUGGAAGUUUCGUAUGGUAAUUUUUUCGUACGAAAAAAAAAGAAUUUUGAAAGAUAGACGUGUAACGUGUCCUAGAUUAAUCUGUACUGAAUAGUGAAUACAAGUCUUUCUUUUUAACUAUAUUGGUGGUUCGAACGACAACAAAACAAAACCAGAAAUAUUGAAAUAAAAUGAUAAAUCUUUUAGCUGUUUGAAAUAAAAUGUAAGAAAAUAAUCAAAUGAGAUGGUGAAAAUAUAGUUAGAAAGUUGUGAAAUAUAGUAACAUUUUUUUUGUUCUUAUAAUUAAUAUGGUAAAUGCAGAAUCUGAUUUAUAACAAUAUCGUAAAAUCGUGUGACAUUAUUAAAAAAAGUCUGAACUGGAGAAAUAUCCCAUAAUUUUUGUCGGGUCACUAAUCAUAUCUAUAUAUGUAUAAAUAACCCCUACAAAACGUAAUUAAACAACAAUGUAAAGAUAUGUAAUAAGUAAUAAGUAAUUAACGUAGGUUAAAAAGAUCAGAGAGAGAGAGAGAUGGAUGUAAAAUGUAUACCCAGUAAGGGGUAAUGAUAGGAGCAGGAGCAGCAAAAACGGGCUCGUUACGGAUAAGGGUUGGAACGGAACGGGAGGAGGAGGAGGAGGAAGAAGAAGAAGGGAGGCAAGCGACGGUGGGAGAAGAACGAAGAGAGAGCUUUUGGAGAGAAGAUUGAGAAGGAGAAAGAGAGGUGAGGAAGAAGCCGGAGAGAGGAGCGGUCGACAUUUGCUGGUGAAGAGAAGUUUAUUAGUGAGAGAGUGGUAUGUAUUUUUAUAGUAAUAUAUAGACUUAUGGAAGCUACUUAAAGUGAAAAUAUUAUGGGAAUGGUGAAAGAUUUUGAGGGUUUUUAAAAGAAGAACGGUACUGUCUCAUGGUCAUGGUGAGGUUGUGGGAACGAGGAUAAUGAAAGCGAUGGGUGAGGUGAAUAAGAAAGCUUCUUCUCUUUUUGUGGAUGAGGAAUAUUAGCUCAAGUUCUACGUGCCCUUGUUCUUUCAAAAUUGGUUAUUUUAUUUUAUAUUUAGAAAAUAAAAGGUUUUCAAAAAGUUAAAAGGAUAAGGUCCCUUAUCACCAAAACAAGAAUCAGCCUCUCAGACUCUCAUCUUAAAUAAACACCACCCACUUUAGAUCUUAGGCCAUUGUUUGUAUUGCGUAUGAGUCAUGCUUCAGUAAGCGCUUCAAAGGCCAGAGAGACUGCUCUUGUAUGCACAUUAAUUUACUCCAGAAGAUGCACACAAUGUAAGGAAAGGAUUUACGUCAAUCAUGGACGACCAAUUCUAUUCUAUAGGAGAACAGACUCGGUGAAAAACUCUUAUUAGUAGCAUGAACAAUAAGAAACUCAUUAAAAUGGAGAAUGAAAAAAAAAGAGAGACGAAGUCAUAAAAAAGAAGCUUUGUUUCUCUCAACCGUUCACUCAGAUCUUCCAUGACCAUAACUCAUACAAGCAAAAUUAGGGAGAAAGUAGAGUUUCUACUUCCUUCCCCAGUGUUAGGAGAGAGAGAAAUUGAAGAAGAAAG
rnacentral:lncRNA from 1 species